ACGCACGCUGGCGGCGUGCUUAACACAUGCAAGUCGAACGGAAAGGCCCUGCUUUUGUGGGGUGCUCGAGUGGCGAACGGGUGAGUAACACGUGAGUAACCUGCCCUUGACUUUGGGAUAACUUCAGGAAACUGGGGCUAAUACCGGAUAGGAGCUCCUGCUGCAUGGUGGGGGUUGGAAAGUUUCGGCGGUUGGGGAUGGACUCGCGGCUUAUCAGCUUGUUGGUGGGGUAGUGGCUUACCAAGGCUUUGACGGGUAGCCGGCCUGAGAGGGUGACCGGCCACAUUGGGACUGAGAUACCGCCCAGACUCCUACGGGGGGCAGCAGUUGGGAAUAUUGCACAAUGGGCGGAAGCCUGAUGCAGCAACGCCGCGUGCGGGAUGACGGCCUUCGGGUUGUAAACCGCUUUCGCCUGUGACGAAGCGUGAGUGACGGUAAUGGGUAAAGAAGCACCGGCUAACUACGUG
rnacentral:rRNA from 1 species